rnacentral:rRNA from 1 species
UUGCUCUGAGGGGAUCAGUGGCGAACGGGUGAGUAACACGUGAGUAACCUGCCCCGGACUCUGGAAUAAGCGCUGGAAACGGCGUCUAAUACCGGAUACGAGACGCAACCGCAUGGUUAGUGUCUGGAAAGUUUUUCGGUCUGGGAUGGACUCGCGGCCUAUCAGCUUGUUGGUGAGGUAAUGGCUCACCAAGGCGACGACGGGUAGCCGGCCUGAGAGGGCGACCGGCCACACUGGGACUGAGACACGGCCCAGACUCCUACGGGAGGCAGCAGUGGGGAAUAUUGCACAAUGGGCGAAAGCCUGAUGCAGCGACGCCGCGUGAGGGAUGACGGCCUUCGGGUUGUAAACCUCUUUCAGCAGGGAAGAAGCGAAAGUGACGGUACCUGCAGAAGAAGCACCGGCUAACUACGUGCCAGCAGCCGCGGUAAUACGUAGGGUGCGAGCGUUGUCCGGAAUUAUUGGGCGUAAAGAGCUUGUAGGCGGUUUGUCGCGUCUGCUGUGAAAAUCCGGGGCUCAACCCCGGACUUGCAGUGGGUACGGGCAGACUAGAGUGUGGUAGGGGAGACUGGAAUUCCUGGUGUAGCGGUGAAAUGCGCAGAUAUCAGGAGGAACACCGAUGGCGAAGGCAGGUCUCUGGGCCACUACUGACGCUGAGAAGCGAAAGCAUGGGGAGCGAACAGGAUUAGAUACCCUGGUA